GCUCGGGUGGUGAAAUGGCAGACACGUCAGCUUGAGGUGCUGAUGGGCGCAAGCCCUUGGAGGUUCGAGUCCUCUCCCGAGCACCA
rnacentral:tRNA from 1 species